rnacentral:rRNA from 1 species
GGCUCAGGAUGAACGCUAGCUACAGGCUUAACACAUGCAAGUCGAGGGGCAUCAGGAAGAAAGCUUGCUUUCUUUGCUGGCGACCGGCGCACGGGUGAGUAACACGUAUCCAACCUGCCCUUUACUCGGGGAUAGCCUUUCGAAAGAAAGAUUAAUACCCGAUAGCAUAAUGAUUCCGCAUGGUUUCAUUAUUAAAGGAUUCCGGUAAAGGAUGGGGAUGCGUUCCAUUAGGUUGUUGGUGAGGUAACGGCCCACCAAGCCUUCGAUGGAUAGGGGUUCUGAGAGGAAGGUCCCCCACAUUGGAACUGAGACACGGUCCAAACUCCUACGGGAGGCAGCAGUGAGGAAUAUUGGUCAAUGGGCGCUAGCCUGAACCAGCCAAGUAGCGUGAAGGAUGAAGGCUCUAUGGGUCGUAAACUUCUUUUAUAUAAGAAUAAAGUGCAGUAUGUAUACUGUUUUGUAUGUAUUAUAUGAAUAAGGAUCGGCUAACUCCGUGCCAGCAGCCGCGGUAAUACGGAGGAUCCGAGCGUUAUCCGGAUUUAUUGGGUUUAAAGGGAGCGUAGGUGGACUGGUAAGUCAGUUGUGAAAGUUUGCGGCUCAACCGUAAAAUUGCAGUUGAUACUGUCAGUCUUGAGUACAGUAGAGGUGGGCGGAAUUCGUGGUGUAGCGGUGAAAUGCUUAGAUAUCACGAAGAACUCCGAUUGCGAAGGCAGCUCACUGGACUGCAACUGACACUGAUGCUCGAAAGUGCGGGUAUCAAACAGGAUUAGAUACCCUGGUAGUCCACACAGUAAACGAUGAAUACUCGCUGUUUGCGAUAUACAGUAAGCGGCCAAGCGAAAGCAUUAAGUAUUCCACCUGGGGAGUACGCCGGCAACGGUGAAACUCAAAGGAAUUGACGGGGGCCCGCACAAGCGGAGGAACAUGUGGUUUAAUUCGAUGAUACGCGAGGAACCUUACCCGGGCUUAAAUUGCAGUGGAAUGAUGUGGAAACAUGUCAGUGAGCAAUCACCGCUGUGAAGGUGCUGCAUGGUUGUCGUCAGCUCGUGCCGUGAGGUGUCGGCUUAAGUGCCAUAACGAGCGCAACCCUUAUCUUCAGUUACUAACAGGUUAUGCUGAGGACUCUGGAGAGACUGCCGUCGUAAGAUGUGAGGAAGGUGGGGAUGACGUCAAAUCAGCACGGCCCUUACGUCCGGGGCUACACACGUGUUACAAUGGGGGGUACAGAAGGCAGCUACCUGGUGACAGGAUGCUAAUCCCAAAAGCCUCUCUCAGUUCGGAUCGAAGUCUGCAACCCGACUUCGUGAAGCUGGAUUCGCUAGUAAUCGCGCAUCAGCCACGGCGCGGUGAAUACGUUCCCGGGCCUUGUACACACCGCCCGUCAAGCCAUGGGAGCCGGGGGUACCUGAAGUACGUAACCGCAAGGAUCGUCCUAGGGUAAAACUG